GGUUGCUGCUCAGUGGUAGAGCGCUUGCCUAGCAUGCGAGAGGCACUGGGUUCCAUCCCCAGGACCA
rnacentral:tRNA from 1 species